GUGCCUGUAGCUCAGUUGGCAGAGGAGUGGGACGGUACCCCACAGUCCCGGGUUCAAGUCGCGGCUGACGCU